CCCUUAGAUGUUCUGGGCCGCACGCGCGCUACACUGAUUCAUGCAACAAGUUUUGUCCUUGGCUCGAGAGGCCUGGGCAACCUUUGAACGCCAGUCGUGCUGGGGAUAGAUUCUUGCAAUUAUUAAUCUUCAACGAGGAAUUCCUAGUAAACGCAAGUCAUCAGCUUGCAUUGAUUACGUCCCUGCCCUUUGUACACACCGCCCGUCGCACCUACCGAUUGAAUGGUCCGGUGAAAUCCUCGGAUCGAGCCGUGGGGCAACUCCGGUUCGAGAAGUUGAUUAAACCUUACCAUUUAGAGGAAGGUGAAGUCGUAACA
rnacentral:rRNA from 1 species